AUUUCUGAAGAUAGUUUACAUUUCACUGAUGCAGCCUCUUUUUUUGUGCUGUUGAUAAUACUGUGAGCAUGCGGUUUAUGAAAACUGGGAAACACGUACGAAUCGGAGUGGACUACUCAACUGCUACCUGGUUAAACACGGAGCUAGGGUAUAGAGCAUACUUGGUUUGGUUAUCUGAAUAUGAAUGGCGGUGGGCUUCACACUUCAACCACUUCAGUUAAACUCCAGUUUUUAAAAAAUAUAUUUGAUCAACCUAUGCGCAUGGAGAGAAGUAAUCAAUUCAUUGUCCAAGAUUAUAUUCAAAGGUCAUGUCCACUUUGACUCAAGUUUGAGCAAGCUCCGAGAGUUACGAUGGAGAGUCCAAGGGAUAUCAACGUUGAUAACCGCAACAUUUUUUUUUUCAUUCUGAUAUUGACGGUUCUUUAUCAUCAGUGAUCCAGGAAGCUACAUUAUUCUAUGAGACCAUUGUCUAUACGUACAUACGCAUAUGGUGAAGAUUAAAGGGUUUAUCUUGGAUUCACGUGUCUGUUCAUUGGUUAAAGAAGCUGGUUCAUUGGUUAAUGAAGUUAAAUGGAAUACUUUCGGUAGUAGUUUUACUGUCUUAGACUCGGGUUUAGGCUCUGAGAUGGGUGAUCCUUCUCAAAGGACUCUAUGAGGAAAAGAAGUAAAACCAACUCAAAACUCAAUCUCUACCUCUGGAGCUGUCAACUUGCGGAAAGUCAACAGGGUGAGAGGCCAUUGGAGUGCAAGCAAAAGUGACUAAACUUCUUAUGCGGUAAAGAAGAUUGGCUUAUUUAUGAAGAAGAGUCAGGUCUUUGUGUUUAGUAAGUUGCAUAGUCAGGUGUGGUUUGUAUGAAAUAUCAAGCUUUGAAGGGUGAUUUAAAUUUUUUUGGUUAUUUGGUUUGGGUCUAAUUUUUCAUUUGUAAUGUGUUUCUGAUCAUGAACCGGUUUGAGCAAAUACUAUUUGUUCUC